GACGAACGCUGGCGGCGUGCCUAAUACAUGCAAGUCGAACGCACAGUUUAUACCGUAGCUUGCUACACCAUAGACUGUGAGUUGCGAACGGGUGAGUAACGCGUAGGUAACCUGCCUGGUAGCGGGGGAUAACUAUUGGAAACGAUAGCUAAUACCGCAUAAUAUUAAUUAUUGCAUGAUAAUUGAUUGAAAGAUGCAACUGCAUCACUACCAGAUGGACCUGCGUUGUAUUAGCUAGUAGGUGAGGUAACGGCUCACCUAGGCGACGAUACAUAGCCGACCUGAGAGGGUGAUCGGCCACACUGGGACUGAGACACGGCCCAGACUCCUACGGGAGGCAGCAGUAGGGAAUCUUCGGCAAUGGACGAAAGUCUGACCGAGCAACGCCGCGUGAGUGAAGAAGGGUUUCGGAUCGUAAAGCUCUGUUGUAAGAGAAGAACGGGUGUGAGAGUGGAAAGUUCACACUGUGACGGUAGCUUACCAGAAAGGGACGGCUAACUACGUG
rnacentral:rRNA from 1 species